rnacentral:rRNA from 1 species
AACGAACGCUGGCGGCAUGCCUAACACAUGCAAGUCGAACGAGACCUUCGUGACUAGUGGCGCACGGGUGCGUCACGCGUGGGACCCUGCCCUUAUGUUCCGAAUAACUCUCUGACGGGGGUGCUAAUGCCGGGUAAUUUCUUCGGACACAAGAUUUAUCGCAUUUGUAUGGGCCCGCGUUGGUUGAGCCUGUUGGUAUGGUAAAAGCCUAUCACGGCGUCGCUACUUAGCUGGUCAGAGAGGAAGAGCAGCCACACUUGGACUGGGACACGGCCCAGACUCCUACGGGAGGGAGCAGUGGGGAAUACAGGGCAAUCGGGUAAGGCCUGAUCCAGCAAGGCUGCGAGAGUGAUGAAGGUCUGAGGGUUGUAAAGCACUUUUAUCCGGGAUGAUAAUGACAGUACCGGGAGAAUAAGCUCCGGCUAACUCCGUG